rnacentral:rRNA from 1 species
NUCCGCAUGGGGGAAUCANGAAACANGGGGCAACCUNUGGCUUACGGAUGGGCCUGCGGCGCAUUAGNUAGUUGGUGGGGUAAUGGCCCACCAAGGNGACGAUGCGUAGCCGACCUGAGAGGGUGAUCGGCCACACUGGGANUGAGACACGGCCCAGACUCNUACGGGAGGCAGCAGUAGGGAAUNUUCCGCAAUGGGCGCAAGCCUGACGGAGCAACGCCGCGUGAGUGAUGAAGGUUUUCGGAUCGUAAAGCUCUGUUGCCAAGGAAGAACGCCUCGGAGAGUAACUGCUCUGAGGGUGACGGUACUUGAGAAGAAAGCCCCGGCUAACUACGUGCCAGCAGCCGCGGUAAUACGUAGGGGGCAAGCGUUGUCCGGAAUUAUUGGGCGUAAAGCGCGCGCAGGCGGUCUUUUAAGUUUGGUGUUUAAGCCCGGGGCUCAACCCCGGUUCGCACUGAAAACUGGGAGACUUGAGUGCAGGAGAGGAAAGCGGAAUUCCACGUGUACCGGUGAAAUGCGUA